GGACUUGUUGAUGAUAUGAGAAAGGUGGAGUUUAAAAGCUAAAACCAAACCGAAUAUAGAAAUGAGCUGGGAAAGAAAACCCAUAGCUGAAAUUCCCCGAGAUGACUCGCAUUUAAAGAGACGGCAAGUCCAAAGCUGCUCUUCAACACUUGUUGCUGAAAUGAACAGGUAGCGAUUUAGCGGGUCAAGCCAUU